GACGAACGCUGGCGGCGUGCUUAACACAUGCAAGUCGAACGGAAAGGCCCUGCUUUUGUGGGGUGCUCGAGUGGCGAACGGGUGAGUAACACGUGAGUAACCUGCCCUUGACUUUGGGAUAACUUCAGGAAACUGGGGCUAAUACCGGAUAGGAGCUCCUGCUGCAUGGUGGGGGUUGGAAAGUUUCGGCGGUUGGGGAUGGACUCGCGGCUUAUCAGCUUGUUGGUGGGGUAGUGGCUUACCAAGGCUUUGACGGGUAGCCGGCCUGAGAGGGUGACCGGCCACAGUGGGACUGAGAUACGGCCCAGACUCCUACGGGAGGCAGCAGUGGGGAAUAUUGCACAAUGGGCGGAAGCCUGAUGCAGCAACGCCGCGUGCGGGAUGACGGCCUUCGGGUUGUAAACCGCUUUCGCCUGUGACGAAGCGUGAGGGACGGUAAUGGGUAAAGAAGCACCGGCUAACUACGUG
rnacentral:rRNA from 1 species